rnacentral:rRNA from 1 species
GACGAACGCUGGCGGCGUGCCUAACACAUGCAAGUCGAACGGAAAGGCCCGGCUUUUGUGGGGUGCUCGAGUGGCGAACGGGUGAGUAACACGUGAGUAACCUGUCCCUGACUGUGGGAUAUCUUCAGGAAACUGGGGCUAAUACCGGAUAGGAGCUCUUGCUGCAUGGUGGGGGUUGGAAAGUUUCGGCGGUUGGGGAUGGACUAGCGGCUUAUGAGCUUGAUGGUGGGGUAGUGGCUUACCAAGGUUUUGACGGGUAGCCGGCCUGGGAGGGUGACCGGCCACAUUGGGCCUGAGAUACGGCCCAGACUCGUAUGGGAGGCAGCGGUGGGGAGUAUUGCACAAUAGGCGGGAGCCUGAUGCGACAACGCCGCGUGCGGGAUGACGUCCUUCGGGUUGUGAACCGAUUUCGCCUGUGACGAGGCGUGAGUGACGGUAACGGGUAAAGAAGCACCGGCUAACUACGUG